GCAUGUAGCUGAGGGCUGCUUGUACAGAGGGAUGAACUGAAGGGCAAGAACCAGAGGACGAGGACUAAAGUGGAUCAUUGCUGAGCUGAUCAGUUUCCAUCUUCUGCAAACAAUGGCAGCAUCCUUGCAGUUAUUGACAGAAAGGUAAUUAUCACUAACCUCAGAACUUUGCAGUGCGUGUUCGUAUUGCUCCAGGUGAGAAAGGAAGUGAAAAAUCACUCCAUUUGGGGUUUUUACCUUUGGUUGGAUUGUUAUUCAGCAGACAUAUCUUUCUGAACACGAUUAUUGUUUGUUAAAUGUUUAAGCAUUUUAUUGAAUUAAACACUGAGUUGGGUGGGUGAUGAAGUGCAUGCAAAGAUAGUGUGAUAGUUGAGAGUUUGUGUAUAGAAUCAUAGAAUCAUAGAAUCAUAGAGUUGGAAGAGACCACAAGGGCCAUCGAGUCCAACCCCCUGCCAAGCAGGAAACACCAUCAGAGCACUCCUGACAUAUGGUUGUCAAGCCUCUGCUUAAAGACCUCCAAAGAAGGAGACUCCACCACACUCCUUGGCAGCAAAUUCCACUGUCGAACAGCUCUUACUGUCAGGAAGUUCUUCCUAAUGUUUAGGUGGAAUCUUCUUUCUUGUAGUUUGGAUCCAUUGCUCCGUGUCCGCUUCUCUGGAGCAGCAGAAAACAACCUUUCUCCCUCCUCUAUGUGACAUCCUUUAUAUAUUUGAACAUGGCUAUCAUAUCACCCCUUAACCUCCUCUUCUCCAGGCUAAACAUCCCCAGCUCCCUUAGCCGUUCCUCAUAAGGCAUCGUUUCCAGGCCUUUGACCAUUUUGGUUGCCCUCCUCUGACACGUUCCAGUUUGUCAGUGUCCUUCUUGAACUGUGGUGCCCAGAACUGGACACAGUACUCCAGGUGAGGUCUGACCAGAGCAGAAUACAGUGGCACUAUUACUUCCCUUGAUCUAGAUGCUAUACUCCUAUUGAUUGCAUGAUUUCUGAAUUCUUGCUUUGUGAGGAUAGAUAGGUAGUCUUCUGAUUCUAUUUUGAUGUAUUUAUGUUUUAAAUAGAUUAUUUGGUUUUUUAUCUUUUAUUUAUGCAUAUUGUCUUGAGAGAUGUUAUGUAGCACAUAGGUUAUUAUUAGCCAUGGCAGCAAUUUCACUAAAUGUGGAAUAUAUAUAUGUGUGUGUUGUGUGUUAUAUAUGUUAUAUAUAUUUGCUAUAUUUAUAUAUAAAAUUACAUUGCAACCCAAAGUCCUCUAAUGUUGGCUCCAUCCAGCAGCACCAUCUAUAAUAUCAUGAAGUUUUAAUCUAAAAUUAAUGUCGUGAUGACCAUCAAUUUAUUUUGUGGCAUGGAUUAAUAAAAUGUCCAUUGAACCUGAGUUGUAUCCAACUAAGUUCUACAUAGAAUAGACCUAAUAAAGUUAAUGGAUUGUAGUCAACAAAAUCAUACUCAGAGUAAACCUACUGAAAUUAACAAACCUACAUUAGUCAUGUCUAUUAAAUUCAGUGUGUCUAUGCUGAGUUGAACUAACAUUGAAUAACACCCAAAGCACCUAAGUUAAUUGUGUCCAUUAAUUUCAGUGGGUCUACUCUAAGUAUGACUAACACUGGAUACAACUCCUUAUAUAUUUUAAAUGCAUAAUAAACAUUUGCAUCAGAGUUUUAUUGCACUUGCUUUGCCACUUCUGAAAACACAACAAAAACAGCUUGUCAUGGAAACAAAUGUGUCUUCUGAUCAAACCACAAAGUAAUUCCACUGGCUUAUGCCCAUCAGCUGUUUGGGCUUCAGGAAACAUAUAACACCUAGGAAGUGUGGCCAUUCUUUUACAGAUUUCCUUUACAGUGAAAUUAAUGUAUGCCCCAGUGUAACAGCUGUCUUUCAUUUAUCUGAUUUUUAUUAAAGCUGAAGUAUGCCAGUUCUGAUUAACCGACUUAAAAAUAUAUAUAUUCCUUCUCACUUUUUAAUUCCAUUCUCUUGGAGUGGUCCCCUCUCCUGUAUUACAGCGUAAUGUAAAAACACCCAGAAGCUAGUACCCUUAGAACAAAGCCUCUUUGAACAUCAGUCAACUCCUAUGGUUUGAGAUCAUGCACUGAAGAAAGUCAUAUAUGAAAGGCCAGUCUCCUAUGUAAUAGGUUUCCUUUGAGACUCAAAACUUUAGUAAAGUCCUAGUUCAUGAUGAAUGAAAGAGCAAAAUUCCACUUUCGAACUAGAUUGCCCAGAAGCCUGUUUCUCAGGAACUUUCCAGUGUGUGUCCAACUCUGAAUAGACAGAAAUAAGAGCCAAAUAUAUCACCAGUGACAUUCAAGUAAACCCAUGUUAGAGAUUAAUUCAUUUUGUUUAAUAGCCACAGUGCUUGAAAUAACAUGUAACUCCCAAAUAUCCUCAAGCACAGUCUAUGUAGGAAACUGGUGGAUUUUACAUAUAGUUUUGCCACUUAAUCAAUAAUUAUUUGCAGCUACUCAUGAAAUUCUCAAUCCGUCUCCCAAGUGUAGUGACACCAUCCAUCAUCCUUUUUGUAGACACACUGAUUUCUGUCAAUUGCCUGGACAAAAUGGUUUGUGUAGAGCAUGAGCACUGCCGCCCCCUAAUAUUGUCCUUUUCUUGGAAAUUGUGUUGUCAUUUAUGAUUUUACAAUGGUUUUUUUUUACAAUUACUGAAAUCAUUUUGAUUGAUAAGGUACUUGUGGAAUGCCUAGGUUGAAGAUCGGUCAUGAGGAAUUUCAGCAGUGACAAAGAGGAAAAACAGGACACCUUGGUAGGUAAAACAUUUAUCCUUUCUUAACAAUGGUAGAUCAAGACUUUAAUCUUGGAAAAUAGUGAGUAGGAAGAGUUAGCUUGCUUUGUAUGAAUUUACUGUAUAAAAUAUUUUGCAAAAUCAUUAAGUCCAAUGAAAGUAAGUCCAAUGCAAAGUGAAAUACAUAAUGCCCAGCUUAUUUACAACUGGUUGCCUGCAUUGCUCUGUGGUGCAUAAAUACUUUUCCUUGUAGACUUCCUCCACCCUCAGUAGAGGUCCCCCCCCCCAGGUGUAUACUAGAUGAGGCCAGAGAAAUGUUCCAUAUUAUUAUAUCCCCAUGGGGGGGAGGCUGAGGGGGCCAUCAACCUGGGCGCAGUUGGGGGGGGGACACAUCAUGGUGCCCUGCCCCAUCGUGAGCGUUUGUGUCCUUAUCUUCGCCCUCCAGCUGGGGGGCAGCUGAGAAGGACGCAACAGGCAUGCGCCCUGGUCCCUGCGAGUCCAGUGCAGCUUUUGCCAGCAGUGCUAUGCUUGCAGGGGCCAGGGCAUGCAACUGCUUGUGGCACCCCAUAUAUAUAAAAUUUCCCAUUGAAGAAAAUGAGUGGUAAAUUCUUUAUGGCAAUUCUUGAGCUGGUGUAAAAGUUGCACCAUCAAGGAGAUUGAAGGAGUACAGUAUAAAGCAUAAGUUUCUUUCUCCACCAUGCUAUGUUCACUCUGCCAAUGUAUGAGGGUUGUUCUGAAAGCGUUAGCAUGUAAAUGCUAAAUCUACUGUUCCGCCAGCGUAGUGGAGCCUCCUAAAGCCCCUCAGCUAGCAUAACUCUAGGAUAAGAUUGGACUCCAAUGUAUGGUCUUAAGAUUGCAAAAGCUUGUGGCAUUUUGAAAUGAGCUUUGAAAGGUUUUUAAAACUCAAAACGGCUGGUGCUUCAGGACAUGAAUCAUCCUGCAAUCCCUAAGGAGGAUUUUGUAGCAUCUUUAAUAUGUAAAUGAUCCAUCCAAUCUAUGCUUGAUGCUCUGCGUGUGGCACUCUCUGACAAUUACACUGUAAAUGCAAGGGCUGGGCAGUUACAGCCCAGAUCUGGUUUAGAGCCUGACUGGGCAACCUCAGAUUAGGUCUGAUCUGAGCCCCAAACCAAAUUGGGGACUUGCAGAGCCCUAAUCAUCUAGUUUAGGGCUUCCAGCCCAAAUUAAACAUGCAGUUGGUAUCAAGGAAAGAGGGAGACAAGGGGAUGCAGGCAAAGACUCUCCCCCUGUGUGUUCAAUCAAGGUUCUAAACUCUAACUCAACAUGCAGUUGGCAGGGGGAGGACAGGUAAGAGUCUCUGCCUGUAUCUCCUCCUUUCCUCCCCCACCAUCAAUGACAUGUUCAAUUAGGGUUCAAAACAUAUGCUUGCCACCCCCAUUUUGUUAGCCUCAGAUCGUUCUGCGUGGACCCAGCCUGACCCAAGGUGAUCUGGGGCUGCCUUAAUAUGCUCCUAGCAAAUCCCAAAUGGGCUUGAUUCAGUUGGGGAUCAUGGAUUUGUCCAAAGUUGAUGCACAGCCGUAGCAAAUAGCUAUGGGAGGAAAAAUAAAACAAACUAGGCAACAUGACUGCUGCUAAUCAGCACUUAGCUGAGUACAGCAGUAUGUAGACAUUUGAUCUGGGUUCGGGAGGGUGAUAUCCAGGAAUUUCUUCAGCCAGAGUUGGCAACCCUACCUAGCUGGAAAAGGAUUUUCAGGAUUGUGAUGUUUGCUUCAUAUUGAGGUGAGUCUUACAAACCUUUCUUGGUUUGUCAUCCAAGCUGCGCUCUGAUAAUACUACUUCAGGUGUUCAAAAUGAUCCUUUCAUAUUGUGAAGUAUAGUAGAAAGCUAUCAUAUACAACAGAGUUAUGAUUCAGCAAAAUAAUUAUUUAUUCUUUUCAUAUCAAAUUCUGAAUAUUGAUACUGCAGAUUUUUGGGCCUGCAGGCAGCUUAUGACACUACAUGGAAUCUCAUUUACAUUUAAGUCUUGUUCUUAAAUAUCACUUCACUUUUUAUAUAAUGAGUAGCUGAAAAAAACUACAUUUCUGCCUAUGCUUCACCAUGUCUUUUUAGAUGCUUUUUCUCUGCCUUAUUCAUCAUAGAAUCUAGCAGCAUAUUUCCCAAGUUUUGAAACUCCUCAAAGGGAUGAAUAAUUGUCAGAUGCUUCUCAUUAUCCAUAUAUUCAACAUUUCCAAACUUUCCCAAGACAAUUUCAUUGUGUAGCACUUGAAGUAAGCUGAAGUUAAAAGUAUGCCACGGCAAUGAUUUCAUAAUACUACUUGACAAUAUGAGAUAAUGUGCACUUUAUGUUGCUUAUAUUCUUCACACAAAAUACCUGUGACAUUUCAUUCCUGAAUGUGUUUGGAUGAGCAAUACACGCAAGAAACUGGAAGUAAGUGAAGUGUACUGUUAAGACUGGCAAAAUAUACACACACACCACAACUGAGAGAUAGCUCAGUCAGUAGAGCAUGAGGCUCUUAAUUUCAGGGUUCUGGGUUUGAGCCCCACAUUGGGCAAAAAGAUUCAGGAGGAGGUUGGACUAGAUUACUCUUGUGGUCCUUUCCAACUCUGUGAUUCUAAAGUGACUGUGGAUGGCAUUUAUCAUCUUCUAAACACCAUGGUGUUUCUUCUCUCUGCGCUACUCCCAGCAGUCAUUCCUCCUCUGGUCAUUGCUAUGGACACACAACCUGUCUGUCUGUCUGUCUGUCUGUCUGUCUGUCUGUCGGCUCUGUGGUCAUCUGCAAGGGUUUCCCACAGGAUGGGGCUGAUGUUGCGAGCCUUCCUGUCAUGUUUUCGGACAUCUUUGUAUCACAGAGUCGGUCUGCCAAUGGGCCUGGUGCCUGAAACCAGCUCCCUGUAGACUCUUCCAUUCUGUGGACACGACCAAGCCAGUGUAGAUGUCACUGAGACAGGAGUGUGAACAUGUGGACUUGAGAGAAAACAUCUUUGUUUGGAAUUCUGUUCUGCCACAUGAUACCCAAAAUCCUCCUGACGUAGUCCAUGUGGAAGACGUUGAGGCCGUCACUCUUGACGGUUGUAAGUUGCCCACGACUCACUUCCAUAAAGCAGUGUGCUCAGCGUGCAAGCCUGGUAGACCAUCUUGGUACAUGCACACAUUCACCACAAGUAGGAUGUGGUUCGUGACUGUAGCCACCACUGAGUGUAGUGGAAAAAUUCAUUAGGAAACUAGUAUAGAAAGAAUGAUGGUGAAAGCAAAAAUAGAUGUCGCAGCAGCAGACAGCUAAACCACACAUUGCUGAUGGCAAUCAAAAUAACACAUGUGGAUUGAGACUAUUCAGCAUUUAGUGUUUUUUAUUCCAAGCCUGCCAGCAGUCACAUCAAUGACGGCAACCACAUCAUCGGUGCAGACAUUCUUUCCCUGCUUGCACUAACAGAAAUGUUAUCUAUAAAAUAUCUUGCAUUUUGUACCAAAUGUAGCAUAUGGUACCAUACAAAGUUAUUUAAAUACUGUGAGAUGAAGUGUCAGUUAAGAGAGACUGACAGGUGAAUACAUCUGUCAAUGUCAGUGUUUCUCCAGAACUCAAAGACUUAAACAAACUUUUAAAAAUGCAUUUUAAAAUAACUGCAGGCUUAAUUUUCUUGUUUGUGCUGUUCCUUAAAAAAAAAAACAGACUUAUGAAAUCUUGGGUUGGUUUUUUGAAUUUUUUUUUACAAAUAUCUACAGGUGUUCUUGUUUGCUUUUGGAUGAUCUCUUCAGUGAUUUAAUUUUAACCAUUUACUGUUUACAACAUCAUAGGUGUUUCCAUGGUAACAAGUUAUGGUGCUAUUAACAUAUAAAUGGAACAUCCCAGAUGUAUCAUGGCAUAUACAGAUCAAAUUAAUAAGUACAUUUUUAUUCCCACCUUUCUUCCACAGUUGAACUCAAGACAAGCAUAGUUGACAUUCCCAAGAGGUCUCCCAUCUCAGCCCAGACCAAACACAGGCCUGCUUAGCUUCAGCAUUAUGUGUCCUCAGACUAGGAUCAUGAACUGUGACCGUGAGUAGGUAUUUUUCUUUGAAAAGGGAAUCAAGACACAAUUGCUCUCAUUAGUGAAUAUUUGAAUACUGUAUUGGUUCUAACUUCUUUAAUAUAUUUUUUAAAAACCCUCAAAUGUGAGCAUUAAUUUUAUCAUUUAAAAUCAGUAUAAGUACUCUCCGUUUGAGCCACCUUUAGUUAUGUAGGCUUGCAUUUAGGAAUUUGUGUUUUGGGGAUAAAUUUAUAGAUGUUUCAUGGUGUUAAACUGAAUUUUGUAUGUACUAUUAAUUGGAAGUUCUCAAUUAUAUAUAUUAAUCUGUAUUUGGUCCAUGUCAUUCGCAUAAGCUUACUUGAAAAUCUACCAUCUUGUUUCUGCUGGGAAGGAUCACAUAUAAAUAUGUAUUUUAUGCAAACAUUUAUGCAGAAUUUCUCCCUCAGACUAUGCAUUUCUAAACAGAGAGGCAGAACUAUGUUACAGCAUUCAGAAAAAAUACAAUGAAUAGAUGUGUACUGACCUUCACAUUAGUCCAAGAGGUACAGAUAAGGUCAGUUCAGUUCUGCUAACCCAGAAAUAGUACCUCAGGUUAAGAACUUUGCUUCAGGAUGAGAACAGAAAUCGUGCGGCGGCAGCACAGCGGCAGUGGGAGGCCCCAUUAGCUAAAAUGAUACCUCUACCUCAGGUUAGGAACAGUUUCAGGUUAAGAACGGACCUCCAGAAUGAAUUAAGUUCUUAACCCGAGGUACCACUGUAGUCACCUUUGACUGGACUUAACUGUCCAGGGUUCCUUUACCUUAACUUUACCUUUAUAUAGAUAGUGCUUUGCACCUUCAUAACAUUUCUUUUUCUUUUCUUUUUUUGAGUCUGUGAAGCUUAAAAAGUAUAUGUUUUCCUUUUUAUGCUUUCCUUUUGUUUCAGCUUUAGUAGCAGAGAAAAAGGUUGCAAUCUGCAAACAGGAUGUUAGCAAUUUAAGCCUUAUGCUUUGGAAGUGCAAGAUGCUUGACUUAAAUUAAACUGUCACUGACAGCAUACGAUUUCAAUUCAAAGCGAUGCCCAAACAUUGGGAUCAAGUUGACCUGUAGAGCUGUUUGGCAGAUUUUUCUUUAUAGCAUAGGUUUUCUCUUGGAGUGUCCUCUGUUAAGUAGACAUUCUAUUUUUGAGAGCUGUUAGGGCUGUGAUUGUGAGUGCAAACCUUAUCAGGUGAAAUAAAAUCUAUAUGUAAUUAUGCUCAUGAUAUUGCUUGAUGCAUAUCUAAGGGGUGAUCAGAUGUUACAAUUAUGGACACAGAAGGAAGUAGCGUGGUAGAAUAAAGCAGAUGGUUGUAGGCACAGCGCUCUUAAUAUCACUUUACCAUUUGUGACCAGGAAACUGUGGCCAGUAAUUGGAAGAUAGACAAAAAUGCCUCGUACCUGGCAGCCACCUGACUGCAGCAUUUGUACUAGUUGCAGUUUUUGGACACUUUUCAAGCAUAGCCUAGUAAUGUGGUUCUUUGGAUCCAACCCAUUAUUCGUAUAUUUAGAUGUACAAUUGGUUUUAUCUUUUCCAAAAACAUUUAUCCGUUUUUCCUUUCUUUCUUUGGGAAAAAUAAAAUGAUGUCGGAAAUAAAUACAAAAUGGAAUCAAAUACAAUGAAAUGGUGAACAUUUUGAAGAAAGAAAGGAAUCCAUUUGUCUUCUAAUACAAUUCUUUGUAAUAAUAAUAUGAGACAUCAUUUAGUCAUUUAUAGAAAUAGAAUGAUGGUUUUUUUAAAGUGAAAAGUUUGAACUGAUUUAUGAGCCUUUAAAUAGAAGUGUGAGUAGGAGUACAAGCUACGGGGUAAGGAGAAAGAGAGGAAUAUGAAAUAAUCCUCUUUUAUAUCAAGCACACAUUUUGAGUGGAACUUUGCCUGACCUGUGAACUCAGCUGGGCACACUUAGCUGAAAAGUAUUAAAAAGCGUAUUGUUUCUUGCUCACUUGUUAAUUAAUUGAAACAUCUGUUACCCUGGUUGUAUAUGCUUAAUCACUGGUGUCCAUGGAAUUAGAAACCUACCCCUUACAAUUCCAUUUUUUAGAGUUUCCCACAGCUUUCUGUGGCUAUUAGGGGUGUGCAUUUGGUUGAUACAAGUCCCAAACUGAUGGAGGUUGCUUCAGAGGCAUUCAGGGUCUUCCCAAAGCUUUUGGAUUGAUUUUGCAAAAAAGAGAUAUAUUGUUGCACACCAGUGUUCAGGUUCCUUGAAAUGAAGGAGAACAGAGAGUGUGAUAUUUAUGAUAUAUAGUUUAAUUACACAUAUAUACAACCUGUGCCUAUGAUCACAGACUAGAAUCAGAGUUGGAAGGGACCCCAAGGAUCAUCUAGUCCAACCCCUGCAAUGCAGGAAUCUCAGCUAAAGCACUGUGUGUGCGUGCAUGCACGCAGGUGCCAUCUAGUCCAGGAUAUUGUCACAGUGGCCAACCAAUUGCCUUUGGAAGUCUGCAAGCAGCACUGGGGGGAGCAGCACUCAUUCCACCUGCAAUUCCCGGCAACUGGUAUUCAGAGGCAUACUGCUUCUGACAGUGCAGGUGGAACAUAGCUGAUGGAGGUAGAAUAUAGCCAGGACUUUGUCCUCCCUUCACUUCUGCGAGGAUGCAAACCAUUCUGCAGAGGGAGGGCACCUGCUAUAAAUAUUGAAAAGGUUUUCUUGCACGUGCUGAAACUCACUUGGGAUCAGGAGGCCGUUCCCUCAGGGACCGUUUUAAUGUGGAUGAUCCCUGUUCAGUUUGUAGCAUCUUCAUUCAAGCAUUUCAGAUAGCAGGGCUAGGAAACAUCUGUGUCUAGACUCUUGGCAGAAAGCUGUUGCCAAUGUGAUGUAAUCGUACUGUACCGGAUGGGCCAAAGGGCUGACACAGCAUAAGCCAUCUUCACAGGUUCAUAUACUGCAGCAGCAACUCCUUGAUUGUGUGUGCGCACCUUUCCCUUCUCUAUGCCCUAAAGAAUGGAAGAAAGAAAGCAGCAUGCAAUUAUGUGACAUUUAAGAGGAGAGCAGAAAGAAGCUGAAAUUUCUGAGUGGGUUUCCCUCAAUUUUGUCUCCUUCCCUUGCCUUUCUUGACACUAUGUAGGAUUGUCUAACAAUCUAAGGAAUUGACAGCAGGAGAUGAGAGAACUAAAGUGUAUCCAUUAAUAAAAAUGUGGAGGUGUGGCUGACUCAGAUCUCUCCACUGCAGAGAGAUGCGCGCAGGCACACACACACACACACACACACACACAGAGCAGCUGAGGAUCCCAAAUCUAUGACAACAAACUAUUCUGUAUGAACAGCCGCCAGUGAUUUUACCUUUUCUCGCCCCACCCAAGCUAUCAUGCUAGUCUGCAUAUUGUCUCUCUCAUCAUCUGACUUGGUGUAUAUGGUAAGUUGCCAGUCCCAUAUCCCUCUUCACUGCGUGUGCGCGCGCACACACAAACACACCACAUCAGCCAGAUCUUGAGAAAGGCUGACAUGCUUACCAAUACAAAGUGCAGCACUGGAGGCUCAACCCAAUGCAUAUUUAUUUGGAAGUUUAUCUACCUGUGUUCAGUGGGGCUUACCCCAGGUGACUGCACAUGGGAAUUCAGCCUUAGAACACUAUUCACAUACUAUUCGUACCUCGUCUGCCUUAUAUGAAACAAUAAUCUUUAUAUCGUAACAUCAACUCCUCCUGCAUGCUUUUAUCUCAUUGACCAGAUAUGCAGCAUCCCACAUCAUAGGUCCAUGGUGUUGGAAGGGACCUCAAAAGCCAUCUAGCCUAGUCCCCCACCUAUGCUGGAAAUCUACUGCCAAAGGCCCAUAUUAUCCAGCAUUCUGUUCUCAUAGCAACCAACCAGCUGCCUAUGGAGCAGAGUGCAAACUCCAAGAAAGGGGAGGCCACUAUUUUCCAAGGCCAUCUGCUCCAGCAUUCUAGCAUGGGAAGCUGUUUCCAGUGUUCAGUCAAAACACCCUCUCUCAAAAUUUAAACCCAUUGAAACAACAGAAAAUAGUUUGGUAUCAUUUCAUGAUUGCCUCUUCUCUAGGCUAAACAUACCAACCCCCUUAAGCCUUUCUUCAUAGGACUUGGCCUCCAGGCCACACAUCAUCUUCACUACUCUUCUGUGCAGAUGCUCCAUUUUGUCUAUAUCCCUCUUAAACGAUGGUGCUGUUUAACUUGCAGUCUGCUAAAGCACACACACAAAAUUUAGUUACUCCUACCAAGCCAACUAAGGAUGCGGGUGGCUCUGUGGUUUAAACCAUCAGGUCGGCGGUUUGAAUCCCCGCGAUGGGGUGAGCUCCCGUUACUCGGUCCCAGCUCCUGCCAACCUAGCAGUUCGAAAGCACGUCAAAGUGCAAGUAGAUAAAUAGGUACCACUCCAGCGGGAAGGUAAACUGCUCUGGUUCACCAGAAAUGGCUUAGUCAUGCUGGCCACAUGACCCGGAAGCUGUACGCCGGCUCCCUUGGCCAAUAAAGCGAGAUGAGCACCGCAACCCCAGAGUUGGCCACUACUGGACCUAAUGGUCAGGGGUCCCUUUACCUUUACCAAGCCAACUAUCACCAGAUAUGUGACCAUUCAUAAAACACCUUUGCUACAAAAGAUGGAUUUAUUUAUCAAUGGGCAAACCCAUGCUCUGCUGCAUGCAGCAGGUGUACCUGUAUAGUAGAAUGGGGGGAGCAAUCCAGAAUGAUACACUGAAUGUUGCCUCCUCCUCUCUGUCUUCUCUAGCACCUCCGACAUCAUGUGAUCAGCAAAUUCAACCCUGAUGAUCCAAUACUUCCAGGACACAUGCGUUUGGUUGCCUGUAUGAGACAAAUUCCACAGGAGCUCCCUCUAAGCAAAGUUUUCAGGAAGACAAGAUGAAAGCUGGCCGUAUCUGCACAUAACUGUAUAGAAGCAUAUUGGUUGGCAAAUAUCUAUUUCUAUAGCAAAUCAAAAUGUUUAUGGUAUCCUCUAUUUAUAAUUCAUAAAGUGGAG